rnacentral:rRNA from 1 species
CCUACGGGAGGCAGCAGUAAGGAAUAUUGGUCAAUGGACGGAAGUCUGAACCAGCCAUGCCGCGUGCAGGAAGACGGCCCUACGGGUUGUAAACUGCUUUUGCAGGGGAAUAAACCUCAUUACGUGUAAUGAGCUGAAUGUACUCUGAGAAUAAGGAUCGGCUAACUCCGUGCCAGCAGCCGCGGUAAUACGGAGGAUCCAAGCGUUAUCCGGAUUUAUUGGGUUUAAAGGGUGCGUAGGUGGCCUGUUAAGUCAGGGGUGAAAGACGGUAGCUUAACUAUCGCAGUGCCCUUGAUACUGAUGGGCUUGAAUGAACUAGAGGUAGGCGGAAUGUGACAAGUAGCGGUGAAAUGCAUAGAUAUGUCACAGAACACCAAUUGCGAAGGCAGCUUACUAUGGUUUUAUUGACACUGAGGCACGAAAGCGUGGGGAUCAAACAGGAUUAGAUACCCUGGUAGUCCACGCCCUAAACGAUGAAUACUCGAUGUUGGCGAUAUACGGUCAGCGUCUAAGCGAAAAGCGUUAAGUAUUCCACCUGGGGAGUACGCCCGCAAAGGGUGAAAACCUANAAAAGGAAUUGACGGCGUGAGAGAGCCGAACGGACGACACGAGGGGAGGGAGGG